CCCAUAAGGGAGUAGACCAGUAGCUUCCUUCGUUCAACUUACCAGAGAAAUUUCUGUGCAGAGUUGUGAAUGUUCGUCUUCAGGCUGAACCUGAGACAGAUGAGGUGUAUGCACAAAUAUAUUUGUUAUUAGUCCACACAAUAACAUAGAUUAUUGCCAAAGCUUCUGUCCUCAUUGCCUCCAUUCUCACCAAUCUCAUCCCCUUCUUCAGCUAGGAAAUUCAGGAGAUGCUAAUGCCAAAGACUCUAAAGGUUAUAAUGUUGCAAAUAGACAAGCAAAUAGAGGAACCUCAACAUAUCCCACUGGCAAGUUUUAUUGCCAGAAUGCCGAACAUCCGCCCCUCCUUAUAUAUUCCUUGAGUGUUAAUUAUUGCAUCUACGGUAUGAAUCCUUACAUUCUUGUCAUUUGGUUUAUUAGCUUCUUU